UGAACGCUGGCGGCAUGCCUUACACAUGCAAGUCGAACGGCAGCACGGGUGCUUGCACCUGGUGGCGAGUGGCGAACGGGUGAGUAAUACAUCGGAACAUGUCCUGUAGUGGGGGAUAGCCCGGCGAAAGCCGGAUUAAUACCGCAUACGAUCUACGGAUGAAAGCGGGGGACCUUCGGGCCUCGCGCUAUAGGGUUGGCCGAUGGCUGAUUAGCUAGUUGGUGGGGUAAAGGCCUACCAAGGCGACGAUCAGUAGCUGGUCUGAGAGGACGACCAGCCACACUGGGACUGAGACGCGGCCCAGACUCCUACGGGAGGCAGCAGUGGGGAAUUUUGGACAAUGGGCGAAAGCCUGAUCCAGCAAUGCCGCGUGUGUGAAGAAGGCCUUCGGGUUGUAAAGCACUUUUGUCCGGAAAGAAAUCCUUGGCUCUAAUACAGUCGGGGGAUGACGGUACCGGAAGAAUAAGCACCGGCUAACUACGUGCCAGCAGCCGCGGUAAUACGUAGGGUGCGAGCGUUAAUCGGAAUUACUGGGCGUAAAGCGUGCGCAGGCGGUUUGCUAAGACCGAUGUGAAAUCCCCGGGCUCAACCUGGGAACUGCAUUGGUGACUGGCAGGCUAGAGUAUGGCAGAGGGGGGUAGAAUUCCACGUGUAGCAGUGAAAUGCGUAGAGAUGUGGAGGAAUACCGAUGGCGAAGGCAGCCCCCUGGGCCAAUACUGACGCUCAUGCACGAAAGCGUGGGGGAGCAAAACAGGAUUAGAUACCCUGGUAGUCCACGCCCUAAACGAUGUCAACUAGUUGUUGGGGAUUCAUUUCCUUAGUAACGUAGCUAACGCGUGAAGUUGACCGCCUGGGGAGUACGGUCGCAAGAUUAAAACUCAAAGGAAUUGACGGGGACCCGCACAAGCGGUGGAUGAUGUGGAUUAAUUCGAUGCAACGCGAAAAACCUUACCUACCCUUGACAUGGUCGGAAUCCCGCUGAGAGGUGGGAGUGCUCGAAAGAGAACCGGCGCACAGGUGCUGCAUGGCUGUCGUCAGCUCGUGUCGUGAGAUGUUGGGUUAAGUCCCGCAACGAGCGCAACCCUUGUCCUUAGUUGCUACGCAAGAGCACUCUAAGGAGACUGCCGGUGACAAACCGGAGGAAGGUGGGGAUGACGUCAAGUCCUCAUGGCCCUUAUGGGUAGGGCUUCACACGUCAUACAAUGGUCGGAACAGAGGGUUGCCAACCCGCGAGGGGGAGCUAAUCCCAGAAAACCGAUCGUAGUCCGGAUUGCACUCUGCAACUCGAGUGCAUGAAGCUGGAAUCGCUAGUAAUCGCGGUAUCAGCAUGCCGCGGUGAAUACGUUCCCGGGUCUUGUACACACCGCCCGU
rnacentral:rRNA from 1 species